UUUUGGAGCUCUCGAUCGAAGCAUAUGGAAAGUAUCUCGGUCUGGGGAAAUUCCUCGGACACUAACGCAGUGAGUGCGAGCUGGAAACAGCAAGAUCCCUGUGCUACACUGCACUUGCGACGAAAACAUUCUGAAUGUUGGAGCAGCAGGAAGCUCGGGCAGUAUUUGUCAUAUCAAAGUUAUGCAAUCAAUGAGCAAGCUCUACUUGCUUAUCAACUCAAUGAGGAUUACAC
rnacentral:RNase_MRP_RNA from 1 species